CAGAAGAAUGAUUGUCUGACAUUUAGAAGAAAUGCACUUUUUAUUUUGUAGUUCUUGUAACCCUCUCACUCCAGAAAUGCCUUGCUGCUCAAUCCYUGCUGUAGGUACUUUUCCAAUCAACAGACCCCAUGCUAAGACAAAGCAAUCAUGGGCCACAAUUUAUCCACGUUUUUCAGAUCACCAGGAAACAAAAUUCCAAGAAGCACCAGGAAAAAAGCAGCAAGUUGAAAGACACCGGAAAUUAAUGAAACGCCAAGAAGAAGAACAUGAGGCACAGCUUUGAUGGACGCAGCCUGCACAGCAGCUGUUUGCAGUAGUAGUAUCGUAAGUCAUAUUGUGCUCUCCCAUCUGUCCACAUUGUUGCCCUCAAUUAAGGCCCUCCCUUCUCUCUUGUGUCUCCCUGCUGUUGGUAAUUGUUUGCACUCACGACCACGGCUGGUUCAGCUCCAGGAGAGGCGAUUCCUCCUUGUCACUACAGCUCCUGCCCCCUCACAGCCACCGACAYCAGAAUUCAUGCACCGGAGACCCAAGCAGAUCCAACUGAGACUCAUUCCUGGUUAAAAGAAUACAACCAAGAAUCAGUGACUUACAGUAGAGCCUUUCCAUGCUUCUGUUCCUCAGCCAUAAGUGCUGCAGCCCACACAAAAGAAGAGGCAGGAAUGAAGGAAUGGGUGAUGUGGGAAAGAAGGGGCUCCUCAGCGCAGCUUAAGCUGAACUGAUGCAAUGAAGACACGAAAGGGAAGYGAGGAAUGUUGACCUGUAACAUCUUUCUGCCUCUUCUCCCACAUGACUCAGGUAUUCAUAAACCUCGAAAACCAGCUGCAUUUCUUUUUCUUUUUUUUUUUUUUUGGUGGCUCAGUUUUCUUCUAAUUUCAUGAGACAAAUCCAGGAUGAGUCCAACUGGAUCCAGAGCAAGAUGUGGUUCACCAACAUACAUCUCCACCCCCGUCAGCAUGUGUACUGCCAGUUUGCCUUCCAUCUUGAAGGGGCCAAUUUAUAUAUUCACAAAAGUACCUUGAUAACUUGUAUCCUACUAAUUUUUAAUAAUAUUGCAUAUAUAUAACCUUUUUUAGGUAGAAUACCUUAUGCAGURAUACUUUCUACAUAUAUACAACCUUUUCAGUACAUCUGUUUUUUUUAACAGGCCGUUGGGCCAGCUGUUGUUGACUGCAUUUUGUUCUAAGCGAACAUUCCAGGAAGGGCACAAAGCCUUUUACAGCAAGUUUUGUUUGAGGAGAAACAAGGAAGCUACUAAUGCGUCAYGUGCAGUGCAAACAGCUGCAGCGUAGGUGCAUCGUUUCCUUAUGUGCUUCAUACGCUUUUAUACCCGACAGUUUCUCAUUCUCACCGAGGAGAAUGAGAUCUCACUGAUGAGCUGCUGCUUCUCUUUUUACUGCUGAUAGGCACAUUCCGUGCUGCUGUCCUUGCUGGCCUCCACAGAUGAUGAUCCAUGCUUCCUGCUCCAGCCUUCAAUGGGAAGUUCAUUCCUCUAGCCUUGCUCUUUCUCGAGCAGCUUGAGCUUUCUGAGUAUCAGCARACUCCACAGAGCUCCCUGGAGAUCCUGGGGGAUGUCCAGCUCUUUGCACCAUUUUUAGAGCCUGGAUCCUGCUGCCUGAGCUUGCGGCUCUCCACCUAAGUUCCUGCUUACUUUGAGCUCAACGUUCUCAGCUGAGAACAUCCCUAGGCUGUUUUGGGGUUAUAUUUUAGGUACGCUGGUUCCUUAUUCUGAUCUGGUGCUCAGCCACUCACCUUGGGUUUUUCACAGCAACAGAGACGGUCCUGGGAAGCGCAGGCAUGUGGGUGUUCAUACAAGAGGYAUCUCCAUGUAGGUGGGACUGCCUYGGUUAAAGGGAUCCAAGUGUAAAACAUGAACGGGAACGUGUCUUGCAGCUUUGUCACUUGCUGAGUCUUGCUCACCUUUGCUUUGCAUGCCACUCAGUUCAUUUAGAUUUUUGGCUUUAUAUUCCAAGGAGUGAAUUUUGAUAGUUUUAAUGUUUUGGUUGUUUUUCUUUUUUUUUUAACUUUCUCUCUUGGGUAUUUCUGUGAUUGCUGCAGAGGUCAGAAAAUACUUUCCCAGAGAUUUUUCUUCUACUUAGAGGAAAAAUACUAUUUUCUUAUUUGAAUCCUCAGGAAAUUUCAAAAUCAAGGACCUGCAAGAUUCUGUAACUAGUUCAGCUGAUUUUAUUAAUAAAGACUUGUGAUUUU